rfam:Equus caballus telomerase RNA gene, sequence.
GGGUGGGGGAGAGUGGGUCUGGGCGGGGCGGCGGUCACGUUUUGUCUAACCCUAACUGAGCUGGGCGGAGGCGCCGCGCUUUUGCUCCCCGCGCGCUGUUUUUCUCGCUGACUUUCAGCGGGCGGAAAAGCCUCGGUCUACCGCCACUUACCAUCCAGUCUGGAGUAAACAAAAAAUGUCAGCCGCUGGCUCGCUCGCCCCUCCCGGGACCCUGCGACGGCUCGCCCGCCCAGCCCCCGCGCCCCGCCUGGAGGCCGCGGUCGGCCCGGGGCUUCUCCGGAGGCGCCCAAUGCCGCCGCGAAGAGUUGGGCUCUGUCAGCCGCGGGUGCCUCGGGGGCCAGGGACGAGGCUCUGGCCGCAGGGAGAGGAACGGAGCGGGUCCCCGCGCGCGGUGCGCUUCCCUGAGCUGUGGGACGUGCACCCGGGACUCGGCUCAAACACGU